ensembl:lncRNA
CCCCUCUCCGCUCAGCACUAGCAACAAGCUUAUGCAUUCUGAAAUGCUGAUACAAAUACAGCUCCUUGUGCCUCUGGCUUCAUCUUAAGUUAGGUCAAGAAGAAAAUGGAAAGUGCUGCCACUCCCUUAGUACCCUCUUUGCACAUCAGCCCCAUAGUUUAAGGGGAAGAAGAGAAGCUUGGAUGCCAACAACAGAGGAACUUGUUCUUGAGCACUCAGUGCUCUCUUUGAAAAAGAGAAGAAAGCCCGCCCAGCCAGGGUACCCCUCAUGAAAAGAGGCUACAGAGCAGAGGAGAGGAAGAAAAGGAACUUUUUAGUGCAACAGCUGUUCUUGACUCCAUGUGUUGCUACUACCUACCUCGUUUCCCUUUAUCCAGUCCCCCCAGACAGGGUUAACAUCUCUAAUAGCACUUGUUGCAGUGGGAGGAGGUCGCUGUGAGACUCGUUAUCAGCCCGUCUAACCUCGCCUUGUGGGAAUGACAAAAUUCCUGUAUUUCAGAAGACAGCGGUGCUCUGUGCAGUGCCUAGAGAGAUGUUGUGUGAUGCUCUUCAGCCUGGAGAAAGGCUACAGGAGGGCUUUGUUCUCCAGGCGGUGUGGCGGUGAGAGCUGUGCCUGGCGCACAACCGAAGCACCACUGCAGAGAAAUGCAGACACCACGAUAAAGAAGCACAGACACCAGGGUGGCAGGCGAGCCCGAGUGCUGCGCUGCACCCAGGCGAGGACAGGCAGCCAGGGAGCUUGCUGGCCGAAGGGCAGGGCUGUGAACGGGGUGUGCUCAACUAGGGACAUCAGAAAUGGCCCCAGCUGUACAGUGCCAGAUUUCAGCCUCGGUGAUUUUGCAUUUUAAAACACGCAAGAGGGCACGGACAGAGGGAAAAGUAGUCACCAUGCCACUGGGAUGUCACUAGCUGCCCUGGGAAGGAGCUGGGGGAGGGCAGAGGCAUGUGCUGCCCUGCUUCUCCAGCCCGCAGUGUCCUUCUGAAGUUACAAAAUGCCUUCAGGAAGGGCUUCUCCACCUGAAAACUCGUUCACUGUUUUUCCACUCAUAGCAGCUGGCCUAACUGAAAAAAUACUGUCUUUCCCUAACCUCGCUCGUCUGCUCACCCUGCCGACACGCUUGUGCUUUCCCAACAGUGCAGGCUCCAGCUGAGCAGCAGCUGAGACCGUUUGCCCCGCUGUCCUGCGGGAAGGUCGCUGCCGAACCCCCCUCUUCGACUGAGUUUCCAGACUGCGUUAUUUACGGGCAUUCAUCCCCGUGCCAGCAUUGUUUUCCGGGGUGAGGAGCUCUUCUGCCCUGCGGCAGGCGUUUCUAGGAAAGCAAUCCCUUCCCCUCUCUGCAUCUCUCCCAUGGGAUGGACAGGCCAGGCGCUGGCUCUCUGCUUGUGGGGUUGGCUCCCCAUAGCCGGAGCAGCCCCGCGCUGUACCUGCCCUUUCUCAACUUCCCCAGGGUGAGCAGAAGCGAGGUGCUGUGCUAGAUGUGGUCUCACCAGUGCAUCAGUUCUACCAAGCAUUUUAUAUUCCCGUAAGGAGCUCAUGAUGGGAAAAUCUGAGCCAUCACCUGUGUCCAGAUUGCAGACCGUUGAGAAGAUACUCCCCAAGAUGGUCCAGACCUGAGCUCCUGAGGAACUUCACCACUGAUUUCCAGGAGCAGUCCUUGCUCAGCUAUUUCAGUCUCCCCUUUAAAUCGUGCUUUUUGACUCUGCAUGUCCUAACAGUAAACUUGAUUUCUGAAAUUAUGAAACAAUAACAAGAAAUGAAGAGAUGUACAAAACAUGCUGUGGGUGGGCUGAACCCAUUUCUUAUUAUUCCAUUGUUU